UCUUCACCACUGAGCCUGCCUGCUGAGGAACACCGCCACCUUCCCCAGUCUCCUGAGCCUUCAACAUCGGCUGCAGGACGUGGCCUCUAUGGGUCCCAAACUCCUUCCUCUCCCUCCCACUGUAAAUGCUUUAAAUAAUCUGAAAAAAA